GAGAGGAGAAUUAGGGGGCGAGAAAUUUAUCUGGCAACAAUCCCAGGAUGCACAGCAAAGGAGAAGAGGAAAUGAGACAGGGAAGGUAAAGACACUAAGCUUUCAAGAGAUGAAGCGACUUGCCUAAGAUUACCCAGGAAGCCAGAGGGGGCGGGGUAGGGUCUGUUUUCACAUUUUUACAAAGUUGGUAUCAUCGCCUCAUCUCAUGUCCAAAGUCACCGGGGAGCUACAACUCACCAAUCGCAGAGGCCAGAGCUGGCUUAGAGCAAGGACGCUACGGUCCCAGCCAGACUCUUCCCUCACUUCACGUAAGGCCAGGCUGGAUGUAUGCAGGAAAAUGCAGUGAUGUACCCAGCACCCAGCUGGCUGCGUGUUGGAGAUCUGCACCCUUUUUAGGCUGUGCCGAUCUUGGGCAGAUCGCUUCACCUUCCUCAUCCUCCUCACCCUCCCACCAGCCUCCGGGUACACUGAGAGGACCACGUGAGCCGUGAGAUUUGAAAGAGCUCUGAGGACCUGAACACAUAGCUGGGACUUACUGCCAACACCAAGGGAAUUUCUCAUGCCUCGUUCUCAUUAUUUUGUGCUUUUGCAAACACUUUAAGUUUUGCCUUGAGACUCCUUAUUAGGUUUUCUUCACUCUCCCCUGCUGUGGUUACCAAGACACAGACUGAAUAUAAUUUCUAAGGGAGAAGACAGGCCCGGAGAGACGUGGGGGCUUUCUCUGGACGAGAUCAGUCUCGGGACGGCCACCGAACUCAUCAUCAGCCUGUUCUCUCAGCCGUAUUUCCUUCUGAGAUUAGCGGCAUAAAAAUGGCUAUUACCCCCAAAAGAUACACUUGUAUUCAUAGUGAAUCUGAUGGCGCCAGCAAUU